AGCUCGUAUCUAUGUGUGUAUGCAUGCAUAUAUAUAUAUAUGUAUGUAUAUGCAUAUAUGUAUAUAUAUAUAUACGUGUA